GUGAAUCAUCGAAUCUUUGAACGCACAUUGCGCUCUUUGGUGUUCCGGAGAGCAUGCCUGUUUGAGGGUCAGUUAAAUUAAAAUCGGUGGUGUUGCUGCCUGUCGUUGUGACGCGUCGGGAUUGGGUCGUCUUUCCUUUGGUUAAGGGACUUAAAAUUUUUGCAUGAUUUUCGAACGUGUUUAAAUCGCUUACGUACUUUUGAGAUAUCGUCU
rnacentral:misc_RNA from 1 species